AUCCCCGUGCAAAGGUAGCACAAUCACUUGUUCUUUAAAUCAGGACUAGUACGAACGGCCUCACGAGGGCUACACUGUCUCCCCCCUUCAAUCAGUGAACCUGAUCUCCCCGUGAAGAAGCGGGGAUAACCCAAUAAGACGAGAAGACCCCAUGGAACUUCAAACUCGUACCACUGCUCCAAAUACACCACACCAGCCAGAGCAAAAUGCCUACUAGUCUUUCGGCUGGGGCGACCACGGAGAAAAAUAAAACCUCCACGAUGAAGGGGGACACCCCUAAUUCCAGAGCUCCCGCUCUAAAAAUCAACAAAUUGACAUAAAUUGACCCAGACACACCUGAUCAACGAACCAAGCUACCCUGGGGAUAACAGCGCAAUCCAUUUCGAGAGACCACAUCGACAAAUGGGCUUACGACCUCGAUGUUGGAUCACGGUAUCCUGAUGGUGCAGCCGCUAUCAAGGGCUCGUUUGUUCAACGAUUAAGACCCUAGGUGAUCUGAGUUCAGACAAGG
rnacentral:rRNA from 1 species